UACGGGGGGUGCAAACGUUGCUCGGAAUUACUGGGCGUAAAGAGCGCGCAGGCGGUCGUUCAAGUCGCGUGUGAAAGCCCCCGGCUCAACUGGGGAGGGUCACGCGAUACUGAUCGACUCGAAGGCAGGAGAGGGUAGUGGAAUUCCCGGUGUAGUGGUGAAAUGCGUAGAUAUCGGGAGGAACACCAGUGGCGAAGGCGACUACCUGGCCUGUUCUUGACGCUGAGGCGCGAAAGCCAGGGGAGCAAACGGG
rnacentral:rRNA from 1 species